rnacentral:rRNA from 1 species
GAUGAACGCUGGCGGCGUGCCUAAUACAUGCAAGUCGAGCGAACGGACGAGAAGCUUGCUUCUCUGAUGUUAGCGGCGGACGGGUGAGUAACACGUGGAUAACCUACCUAUAAGACUGGGAUAACUUCGGGAAACCGGAGCUAAUACCGGAUAAUAUUUUGAACUGCAUGGUUCAAAAGUGAAAGAAGGUCUUGCUGUCACUUAUAGAUGGAUCCGCGCUGCAUUAGCUAGUUGGUAAGGUAACGGCUUACCAAGGCAACGAUGCAUAGCCGACCUGAGAGGGAGGUCGGGCACACGGGAACUGAGACACGGUCCAGACUCCUGCGGGGGGCAGCAGUAGGGAAUCUUCCGCGAUGGGCGAAAGCCUGACGGAGCAACGCCGCGUGAGUGAUGAAGGUCUUAGGAUCGUAAAACUCUGUUAUUAGGGAAGAACAUAUAUGUAAGUAACUGUGCACAUCUUGACGGUACCUAAUCAGAAAGCCACGGCUAACUACGUG